AGAGUUUGAUUCUGGCUCAGGAUGAACGCUGGCGGCGUGCUUAACACAUGCAAGUCGAACGAAGCGCUUUACUUAGAUCCCUUCGGGGUGACGAGUUUGUGACUGAGUGGCGGACGGGUGAGUAACGCGUGGGUAACCUGCCUUAUACAGGGGGAUAACAGUUAGAAAUGACUGCUAAUACCGCAUAACCCGCUAGUAUCGCAUGAUACAGACGGAAAAGAUUUAUCGGUAUAAGAUGGACCCGCGUCUGAUUAGCUAGUUGGUGAGGUAACGGCUCACCAAGGCGACGAUCAGUAGCCGGCUUGAGAGAGUGAACGGCCACAUUGGGACUGAGACACGGCCCAAACUCCUACGGGAGGCAGCAGUGGGGAAUAUUGCACAAUGGGGGAAACCCUGAUGCAAGCGACGCCGCGUGAGUGAAGAAGUAUUUCGGUAUGUAAAGCUCUAUCAGCAGGGAAGAAAAUGACGGUACCUGACUAAGAAGCCCCGGCUAACUACGUGCCAGCAGCCGC
rnacentral:rRNA from 1 species